GAUGAACGCUAGCGGCAGGCUUAACACAUGCAAGUCGAGGGGCAGCGCGGGAUAGCAAUAUCCUGGCGGCGACCGGCGGAAGGGUGCGUAACGCGUGAGCGACAUGCCCGUUGCCCGGGGACAACCGGUGGAAACGCCGACUAAUCCCCGAUGGGAUAUUGUGCCGCAUGGCACGAUAUUGAAAGUUACGGCGGCGACGGAUUGGCUCGCGUCCGAUUAGCUGGUUGGCGGGGUAACGGCCCACCAAGGCUGCGAUCGGUAGGGGUUCUGAGAGGAAGGCCCCCCACAAUGGGACUGAGACACGGCCCAUACUACUACGGGAGGCAGCAGUGAGGAAUAUUGGUCAAUGGGCGGAAGCCUGAACCAGCCAUGCCGCGUGCGGGAAGGAGGCCCUAUGGGCUGUGAACCGCUUUUGCCUGGGGGCAAUAAGGGCGUCGCGCACGUCCGAUGAGAGUACCAGGCGAAUAAGCAUCGGCUAACUCCGUG
rnacentral:rRNA from 1 species